AAAAAGGGAACGGCCCAACAUGGAGAUGGUAGAAACAAUUCCAGCCACAUAAAAAAACAUAACCAAUCCAAGAACCCAAGGCAUCAAUAUGAACCCAAUAAAGAAGGUCAGCGAUCCACAAAGCAUCAAAGCCAGAGAAAUUCCCAGCAUCAACGACGCGAACCCCGCCGGCGAGAUCUGUGGCGGCGCCGAUGACCUCCUCCUAGAAUACUCUGAUGGAAUCUCCGGGGAUUGGUCAGAGAAAGGGAUCGGCGACGGCGGCGAACGAAGCAGAUUGAGAACCAGAGCUGAUAGCUCGUCGAAAAUCCUUGAUUGUUGAUCUUGCUGCUGACUACUCAUCAUUCUAAUUUCCUUUCUCGAAGGGAAAAAAAAAGGAAUAAAACCCAAAAUAUAACCAAAUAAAAUUUUUUGAAAAAUCUUUAAAACUUAAUCCGCUUGUAAAACUUUCAAUUUGUUACUGCUAAAACGAGGAAAGUGGAUAAACACAAAAACCUCUAUCUACCACGCCGGUUGAUUGGAGAGGAAUUUCUCAAUCUAUUUAACCUUCGGCACUGCACUUUCCGAUAGGCUGAGUUUUGUUUGUUGCUCAGGAAAUUCUUUGACAGUUUUAGAGAGAGAGAGAAAGAGAGAGAGAGAG
rnacentral:misc_RNA from 1 species